rnacentral:rRNA from 1 species
UGCCAGCAGCCGCGGUAACACGGGGGGCGCAAGCGUUAUUCGGAAUUAUUGGGCGUAAAGGGCGCGCAGGCGGUCUUGUCCGUCUGGUGUGAAAGCUCGGGGCUCAACCCCGGAAGUGCACUUGAAACAGCAAGACUUGAAUACGGUAGAGGAGAGAGGAAUUCCUGGUGUAGAGGUGAAAUUCGUAGAUAUCAGGAGGAACACCGAUGGCGAAGGCAUCUCUCUGGGCCGAUAUUGACGCUGAGAACCCUAGGCGCCGGUAGAGAACGGCGUUAGAUG